GUGCGCCUACGGGGGGCAGCAGUGGGGAAUAUUGCACAAUGGGGGAAACCCUGAUGCAGCGACGCCGCGUGAGUGAAGAAGUAUUUCGGUACGUAAAGCUCUAUCAGCAGGGAAGAAAACAGACGGUACCUGACUAAGAAGCCCCGGCUAACUACGUGCCAGCAGCCGCGGUAAUACGUAGGGGGCAAGCGUUAUCCGGAUUUACUGGGUGUAAAGGGGGCGCAGACGGCCAUGGCAAGCCCGGUGUGAAAGGCAGGGGCAUAACCCCUGGACUGCACUGGGAACUGUCAGGCUGGAGUGCCGGG
rnacentral:rRNA from 1 species